AACGCGAAGAACCUUACCAGCUCUUGACAUGUCUCGUAUGGGGAUCGGAGACGGUCUCCUUCAGUUCGGCUGGCGAGAACACAGGUGCUGCAUGGCUGUCGUCAGCUCGUGUCGUGAGAUGUUGGGUUAAGUCCCGCAACGAGCGCAACCCUCGCCCUUAGUUGCCAUCAUUCAGUUGGGCACUCUAGGGGGACUGCCGGUGAUAAGCCGAGAGGAAGGUGGGGAUGACGUCAAGUCCUCAUGGCCCUUACGGGCUGGGCUACACACGUGCUACAAUGGCGGUGACAAUGGGAUGCCAACGCGCAAGCGGGAGCAGAUCCUAUAAAAGCCGUCUCAGUUCGGAUUGUUCUCUGCAACUCGAGAGCAUGAAGUUGGAAUCGCUAGUAAUCGUGGAUCAGCACGCCACGGUGAAUACGUUCCCGGGCCUUGUACACACCGGAGUA
rnacentral:rRNA from 1 species